rnacentral:lncRNA from 1 species
UACACGUGGAUAGAAAAAAGAAAGAUUCGCCGGAUCAGACGACUCAGAGAAGACGUCACAAGUCCCAAGACAGACUGUGGGCCCCACUCUGCACAGCCAAUGAAUGUCUCACUCAUCACAUUAAACCCACUAAUCACUUCAUUAAUCACACUAACCACCCUACGUUAAUCUCCUUGUCUUCUCCUUCUCCUUUUUCUUCUUCUUCUUCUUCGUCUUGUUC